GGGCGCGUAGCUCAACGGCAGAGCAGCCGGCUCAUAACCGGUCGGUUGGGGGUUCGAAUCCCUCCGCGCCCACCA
rnacentral:tRNA from 2 species